rnacentral:misc_RNA from 1 species
AAGUCGUAACAAGGUUUCCGUAGGUGAACCUGCGGAAGGAUCAUUAACAAAUCCAUGAUGAAUUGUGUUUGUGUGAGUGUCAUUCAUGAGAGGGUGUAUUCAUUUGUGAGGGUGAGAAGUGUCACAAUUUCUUUCUCUUUCAUCUGAUGCAUGUUCGAUGGAUGCAUUCAUAUCAAUGCAAUCACAUUAGUUCCAUGUACAAUUCAUCGUUGUGCAUGAUUACAUUUCUACGAAUCAUCUGAUUGUGUGACUAUAAUUACAAAGAAUGACUUUUAACAAUGGAUCUCUAAGCUCUU